UACGUAGGGGGCAAGCGUUGUCCGGAUUUACUGGGCGUAAAGAGCGUGUAGGCGGCCAAACAGGUCCGUUGUGAAAACUGGAGGCUCAACCUCCAGACGUCGACGGAAACCGUGUGGCUAGAGUCCGGAAGAGGAGAGUGGAAUUCCUGGUGUAGCGGUGAAAUGCGCAGAUAUCAGGAAGAACACCAAUGGCGAAGGCAGCUUGCUGGGACGGUACUGACGCUGAGA
rnacentral:rRNA from 1 species